CGUACACUGGCACAACCUGGACCUUCCAAAAUAUCCUAACGAAUGCUUAAAGUGGCCCGAAAUAAAAUUGACGCAAGAAAAAAAUGCUUACCGUUCUUUUUCUGCUCGAUAAAAAGUGUUGGCUGAACUAAAUGGAAUCUGAAGAACUUUUGUACAGGGGUUUUCCGGUUAAAAAUGGAGUGAUGAUGGCUUUAACAACUGUCAGCAGGAGUUGAAGAUCGAUAACCUAAAAAAUAACAGGAUUCGGACCGCAGUGCUCAAAACAUUAUGGCCGCGAGAAGCAUGUUGGCGAUCGGCGCCACAUAACGUGCUCCUAAAAUAUUCACAACGCUUCUGGUUGUUCGUAAUAGUUUCGUUGCUCCCUGCUAACUGACGGACGAUAAAUCGAAAAAAACGAAUUCAAACGUAGGAUGUAAAAGUGAAAAAUAAGACCCUAUCAUUUCCCGUUUAAUAAUAAUGUGGAAAAUUAAGGAGAAAACAUAGACCCGCGGUGAUCUGAGAGUGUGAACGCGAGUGUGAGCUGGCUUGGCCGCUCGCGCUAGUCGCUCGCAGAUGUUGGGCUUCGUAGCUCCUGGAUCGACCAUCAUUGUGAUACGACGACCAUGGGGGAUGAAAAUGUGAUCACGGAAACCUGGCAGCAGAAGUUACUGUUCUACAUCACCGCCUUUUUCGUCUUGCUGGGCAUUUUCAGCCUGUUUUCCUUCUUAUUUCUCGUGCCUUUCGUCAUUGACCCGGCCUUCACCACUAUUUUUAUGGAAUUCAAUGAGGAACCCGCUUACUGUGUCACCGUUAAGACGCAGAGACUGCUUGGAGCUUCGAACUGUAGCUGGACUUCUUGUAGAGAAGGGUGCACUAAAGAUAUUUACGAUUGCACACAGAUUUUUGUUACCUAUAAAAUUUUAUUAAAUAACACUUAUUGGAAUAGCACCAUUCCAACAACCAUGAAAAAUACCGAGUCUCCUUUCAAAAAGGAUAAAGCCUUGUUGGACGAUUAUGAUUAUGAUGACACAAGCACAGGCCUGCAAGGUAACAAUUCCGAAUGGUAUUACCGGGAAGCCAGACUGAUGCCAAACGUAAAAGGUUGUGGCUACCCUCCUAUGUUAAACUGUUCCAUAUGGUUAAAAGCAUACAUAAACAUAGGAACAAAUUUCUCCUGCUUCUACAGCAAAGUAGACCCGGGACUAGUCAUCAGCGAUCUGGAUAUGUGGCAAGUUUACAUGAACUUGGUGUACGCCAUGUGUAUUCCUAUACCGUCUUUUAUAAUUUCCGUCAUAUAUUUAGCAAUUGCUUACUUCAAAAUAUACACGGAUGACGAAGAGGCUGCUCCUUUAGAAAAAAAUGCUGAAGACAUUGAUGUCGAAGGAGAAAGCUGCGCUAAUCAAACUCCUCCUCCGCUUGCCAGUGGAGGAAUUACACCUGCUAGUGAGGCAUUUAGGGAGGAUCUGGCCAGUUUUGGACACCAUUUCAAAGUAGCGAUGGUAGAUGACAUUAGCAGAGAUAGUCUUGUUGAUGGUGUCAUCACUUCUGUUUCCAUUGGAGGGAGUAUUGGUAAAACGAUGACUACUAGUAUCUCGACCACUGGUGGUCCAGUAGCGGACAUUUAAAUCAACGUUUUGACAGAACUUAAUAAGGCUUGUGCUAUACUAGCUUAGCAAAUUUUUACAAUACGUACAUCUGAUUCAAAUAUAUUUUAAUCGUUCUGCUAUCACAACAAAAUCGUGCUGCACCUCAUCUAAACAAUGAACUUAAAGUGUUGUCUAAAUUUAGCCAUUCAAGAGAAAUUCUUCGAGAGGGACACCAAAUACAUAAUGUACAUACUAGAUUGUCUCUAAAAUAAUUGUUGCAAUAUUAAAAAUACUGUUGAAAGUUUACUAAUAAAAUUAUGUUGUAAUAUGCAACAAUCCAAAUACUAUACAGCCUUGGGUCGAUUUGAAAAUGAUUUUUCCUAAAUAAUCUGACAAAAAAAUAUUUUUCUACUUGCUCAUAUGAAAAGAGCUAAGAAGAAAUAGUUCUGUCAGAAAUAUGUUAGCAUAGUAGUCAAAAACUGAUAGACCCAAGCUAACGACGAUGUUAAGUUUGGACUCUUGCAUAGAAUCCGUGUUAAAUUUCACCAAUUGGUGGAUGACAUUUGGAUGUUUGACCUUUUGCCUUCUACUCGUCAAAAAAGUUAGCGUUUGUAAUAUUUUUUCUAGAAUUAAGGUACAAGCUAAAGAGGUAACAGCUCAGAGCCAUCCAUUAACACAAACCUACCAUUUUUAUGAUGUGGUCCAUCUCCUUCCUAUUCGUAUUAAUACUAAAAACCAUUUAACAAUACAACUUAUAAUAUAUUGUGAUAUUCUGUACAUAAAAACAUCUAUUAUGCCUAAAUCUCUAUCUAUGACAUGAAUGGAAAUAAUUAAAAACAUACUAUAAAAUAAAAAAAAACGUCGUAGUGGGCUUUGAAAUGGCAAGUUCAAGACCUACUCUGACAUCAUUUUUUUUUAGAUUAUACGGCACUUAUAAAUAAAAUACAAAAUUGUAUACUACAAAAGCUGUUUUGUACAUGGAAGUUUGAGCACGUAAAAUUUUCACAACUUAGUCACUUUAAUAAAGGAACUUAGAUGUGCUAUUUCCCAAACAAAUUAACAGAAUAUGUUAAUUAAUAUUAGUUAGGUAUAACAGGUCAUAGGAAACAUAAAUUUAUAUUAGGUGUAGGCAUUUGAGUUAAUGGAUGACCCGAAAAAUAACAGUGUAAAUAUAUUCUUACAUUUAUAUAGACCACAGUAAAACUAUAAACUAAAAUAAAAUAAUAUACUGUAAAAUUAAAUCUAUGAUAAAAGAAGGUAAUAUAUAGCUGAGCUCCAAUUUUAGAGAUAUCGAAGUUAUCUUGAUGCCCGCACAAUGGUUUAAUUAAUAAGUACAAAAAUGUGUGUAUGCCUUUAUUAUUGUAUGCCCUCCACAACACUGGUGCUCAAAAUAUUUAAAUAUAAAUUUUGACUGCCGGAGUAUAGGUAUUUAGAUGCAGAUGAUUACAAGUGCAUAAAACUAUUUGUUCUUUUACUUGGUAUAAUAUUCUAGCUCAAAAACGUACAAAAAAUAGGUUUUAUUUGGAUAAUAUUUUAUUAAGGAUUAAUAAUUGAACUAAAAUUUAAACAACUCCAGGGUGUUUCAAAAAACAUGUGCCGUCUCUCGUGGGGAGAUUCCUCACGUUUGUUGAAACACCCUGUAUAUUUCGAAGUCAAUACAUACCUAAUAUACUGCCUAGUUUAUAAUUACCUCCCAUUUUAUUUUGACUCAUUAUUUUGAAAGCUUAAAUAAAUCUAUAGAAGUAGGGUAGCUUAAAAUAAUUUAUUAAUAUUUUACAAAAAUACCAUAUUAAUCUUCUUCCAUACCUUACUCAUUUAAUUGUUUAAUAUCCAAAGCAAGCUUACCAUUAAACUUUUAGGCCUUAUAGUUUUAUGGCAAAAGAUAUUAGAAUGCACUGUACAAGUAAAAAUCGGGUUGGGAUUACGCAAUAAAAUUAAAAAUAAAAAAUAAACCCCAAAAGCAAAUUUGUGAAAACUCGCUAAUAUUUUUGUAAUACUCUGAAAUAAUUCUAAAUCUAUAGAUAAUUUGCAUUGCACAAUUCUGCUUUUGGAAUAAUUUUAAUUAGAUUUAACUUAUUCGUUCUAGAAUCAAGAGCAAUAAUUAUUCUAUUCCCUUGAUCUUUGUUAAGAAAUUAAAGAUUAAUGUAAUGAUUAAAUGUAUAAACUAGUUUAACUGUGGUUUACAAUAUUUGAAUUAAAGAUUGUAAGUUUACAAUGCAUUUUCCGUUUAGUUUGAUAUUAUUGUUACGAAAAAAAAAUAAAAAAAUAUAUAUACCAUUUCGUUUUUUAGUGGAGGGACCAAAUUACUUUUCAUUGUCCUCAAUCUUGUUAUUUUUAAAAGAAACUAAUAAAAUCCAUUUUUUUAUUUUCUUACCAAAAUAAUAUUGCUUGUAAACUUAUAAAUUAUUGUUAAAAAAAUUUUUGUUUAUAUUUAAUGUUAAAAUAUGACAUUGUUAUCUGCUACCUCCUAAGUAAUUUCAACAGCUUUAACUAAUGAACUGACAAAUGGUUCUUUUAAUUUUUGUUCGUCAUUGUUAACACACAAUCUUUUAAAACUAAUUUGUGAUACUUACAC